UAUCUCUGUAGAGUCUGCAUAUCAAUAAGCGGAGGAAAAGAAACUAACAAGGAUUCCCUUAGUAACGGCGAGUGAAGCGGGAAGAGCUCAAAUUUGAAAUCUUCAAGGUUCUACCUUGACGAAUUGUAGUUUAUAGAAGUGUUUUCUGUUGGAGUUUUGGUAAAAGUUCUUUGGAAUAGGACAUCAUAGAGGGUGAGAAUCCCGUAUUUGGUCAUUACUUCCUAGCUGUGUGAUACACUUUCAAAGAGUCGGAUUGUUUGGGAAUGCAGUCCAAAAUGGGUGGUAAAUUUCAUCUAAAGCUAAAUAUUGGCGAGAGACCGAUAGCGAACAAGUACCGUGAGGGAAAGAUGAAAAGAACUUUGAAAAGAGAGUUAAACAGUACGUGAAAUUGUCAAAAGGGAAGCGUUUGACACCAGUGUUGUUUUCUCGAAAAUCAAUUUAAUGAGUUCUUGUUUUUAAGUUAUUGUGACUUUAUCAGCGCAUUUCUUAUUUUACUUGACUCAUUGAAUGCACUUUUCGUUUAACAAGUCAACAUCAAUUUCUUUGGUGGUAAAAAGUUUAAAGGAAGGUGGCUUGGACUUCGGUUCAAGUGUUUAUAGCCUUUUUUCUAUGCCAUCGGAGAGAUUGAGGUCUGCAGCGUAGAUCCUUCGGGGUUAGAUACCUUUGUGCUAAGUUAUAGUUUUUUAUAGACAACUUGUUGACUAUAAUUAACCCUGUAAUUUACUCGCUUAGGCUAUUUUACCUACGCUUAGGAUGUUGAGUCAUCACACAUCUCU
rnacentral:rRNA from 1 species